rnacentral:rRNA from 1 species
UACAGAGGUCUCAAGCGUUGUUCGGAUUCAUUGGGCGUAAAGGGUGCGUAGGUGGCGCUGUAAGUCGGGUGUGAAAUUUCGGAGCUUAACUCCGAAACUGCAUUCGAUACUGCGGUGCUUGAGGACUGGAGAGGAGACUGGAAUUUAUGGUGUAGCAGUGAAAUGCGUAGAUAUCAAGAGGAACACCUGAGGUGAAGACGGGUUGCUGGGCUGACACUGACGCUGAGGAGCGAAAGCGUGGGGAGCGAACAGG